CUCCCAGCUUCCCAUCACAGUUCACCCACCCUGGGCUCACAGUGAGCAGAGGCCUUCCCCACAUCUCAUUUCCCCCUCAGAGCCCACUUGACCAAGCAUGGGCUUUGUGUUCUAUUGACUCAUUUAUUACACUUCCCCAGAUGAGUUUUCUUCAAGAUUCAGCCUCUUCCACUGCCAGCCCAAAACAGCCCUCCCAGAGCCCUGUUGCCAGUGCCCAUGUCCUCAGCACAGUUCAGCAGACAGCAGAGGCCCCAUCCCAAUGCCACAGACACCCCCACCCUCCCCUUUCCAUGCUACCCCCACAGCUCAGCCGCCGUCAGUGGCUCACCUUCUCAUCCUGAGGCACCUCACGGGCUGCAGCUCCUGCGCAGUGCACGGCCACCUGCAUCACUUGGGAGUCUUGUUUCUUGCUUCAAUGCACUCAGGAGCUUCCUCAGUCCCAACUGGUGCUCUUCCAUGUGUUUUGUCAACUCUUUACACUGAAGAGUGUCUGAGCACGGCAGUCCUGCCACCUCUCCCCAUUGUUCAGGGCACAGCAAAGCCUCUGCACUGAAAGGAGCUUUUGCUCAGGCACCUUCCUGCAGACUCACAGCAGUCCUGGGGCUACGGACACCCUUCCCCUCAAAGGUACCUCAGGCAAAAUCCCAUCAGCCCAGAAAGCACCUCCCCUGCUGCAUUUAUCCUCCCUGAAGGCCACCCCCAGGAGAGCUCCUUGAGUGCUGCCCCACCUCACCCAGCUGCAACCCAUCAGGCUGAUGGCACAUGGCAGCCCUGGAACCAUGAGAGCCAGAGAGCCGGCUGGGCCUGGCAGGGCAUAGAAAUGACAACUUACACGAAGAAUCAUGGAUGUCAUGGCAGCCAAGAGCCGUUAUUUAGACACAUUAACAGAACUCAUUUGUUGCCAGGGAAUCCAAAUAAAGCAGAUAAACCUUA